GUUGGUUUUCAAUAAGUUGUUGUUCCUGGAUUUGAACUGUGAUUGCGGAGUACAAUGCCAUAGAACUCGAAUUUUGAUGGUUUUCAUUUUCGCCUGAAUCAUAAGUUAUAUUUGAUUAUGUUCUGGGCCUUCUGGCCUAACAAGAAAAUAAAAAGGUGAACAAUUUACAUGCCUCUUAUUGUUUUUGGACCUUCACUUUCAUGGGUGGUGUUCUUAAUGGCAUGCGAGGGUCUCUUGAUGGGCGUUUAAAUCUAUGGAUAUUUUGGUUAUUUUUCGGUGAUAUUGAACUUUUUUUUUGUGAACUCGUAGGGAUGAUGGUUUGUCCUUUUCAUUGUUUUAAGGUACUUGCUGCUGAAUCGAAAUGCAUAGAGAAUGCCAUAAGAUGUGGAGGUUUAGCUCCAACAAAAGCUUCUUGCAUUAAGAACAUAUUGAGUUCCUUGCUUGAGAAAAAUGGCAAACUAUGCUUGGAGUACCUUCGAGAUUUGUCAGUUGAAGAAAUUAAAGCUGAGCUGUCUCAUUUCAAGGGAAUUGGGCCCAAAACGGUAACUUCUUUAUCCAGGAUUAGCUCAUGCUAGCUGGUAGAUAAAAUUGCUGAUCUUUUGAUGAUUAGAAAAGAUAGUGUUGCUUAAUAUUGUGCUAUUUUGAUAGGGUGUAUGAAGUUGUUCUCUUUAGCCGAACUUACUUUUCUUUAUUUAGCAAGUUCACUUCUGUUACUGUCUUUUUGUGAUGGUUUCAUUGGGUCAGCAAGGCAUAUGCAUUAUGCAUGUCCUAUGAAAAUUAUCUGCAAGAAAAAAAAUUAACCUCUGUAUCAAGUCACACUUACUUUUGUGCAGUUGGAAUGAUUUAAACUGUUCAUAUAAUUUUGCACAAAUGCGAACUGUCAUAUUACAGCAAACACUGCUCCAAAAUGGCUGGACUAUUAGUGCUUACUGAAUGGUUACCCUUGUUAAUUUUCUUAUAAAGUGAUCCAAUACCACUUCUUAUUUUCUUUGGUUCUGCUUCCAAUCUUAGAUUUGGACAGUGAGGACCACAGUGUACAUGGAGAAAUGAGUAUGUAUGGUUUCUGCAUGGCUUUCUGUAAAUCUCAUGACAAAUAAAAUAAGAUAUUUCUGAAAAUUCAUUAUUGUCCUAGAAUAAUUUUUGUUUUGUAUAACAAAUAUAUAGAGAGAUACUUUGGAGUUGCUUUGAGAUAUUGUUGUCUUAGAAUUUAUUUUAUCCAGCUAAGUAUCUCCCUGGUUGCUUACCAUUUACUAAUAAUAGGAGAUGUUUCAACACUCUGAGAUGAAUACUUGAUGAACUAUAGCACUUCAUUUCUUUUUUAUAUGAAGGUUGUCUUGCUUUCUUUAUGAGUGCCCAAAGCGCAUAAAAGAAAAAAUUUCUGUUGUAGAUAAUUGCAAAGCUGCAAGUUGUUUACAAACUUGCAAUGCUCUUUUUGGCUAAUGUCACUCCACAGAAUCUCCUUUCCAAAACCAUAUUUUCUCAUGGAAUGUAAACUUAAACAAUUUAUAUUGCCUUCUUUUUAAAGCAUGCUUUUCAAUUUUCAUUGGGUUGUGGGUUUUCCUAAUAGAACUUUAUCAGUUUUCAGAAAUAUUUCAUCUGUACCUUGGGAAUCAAUUUCUUCUUGGUUUUCUGUCUGAAACACACACACAAUCUGUUUUUAAUUUCAUACACUUGUACAUGUAUGUUUAGAUGGUUGGUGAGAAGUCACUUAUAAGCUAAUAAUGCACACCUACAUUUCUAUCAGUCUAUUUAUGUAUAUACAUCUGUAAUUACUAUAUUGGUAGAUUGUGUCCAGAUGAAAAAUAUUAUGCUAAAUUCUAUUUAUGUUCAGAAUUUGUGGAUUUAUAUAAAAAGAAUAUUAUGAUAGUUUGGCACUCAUGCUGAUGAGAGCCACAAAUUGAAAGUUUAUGAGAGACAUAAGAAGGUCAAGCAAGCUUAGGAAAGGGCUGCCGCAAACUCCCACAAAUUGAGAA
rnacentral:misc_RNA from 1 species